rnacentral:rRNA from 1 species
UACGGAGGGUGCUAGCGUUGUUCGGAAUUACUGGGCGUAAAGGGCUAGUAGGUGGCCAACUAAGUCAGACGUGAAAUCCCUCGGCUUAACCGGGGAACUGCGUCUGAUACUGGAUGGCUUGAGUUUGGGAGAGGGACGCGGAAUUCCAGGUGUAGCGGUGAAAUGCGUAGAUAUCUGGAGGAACACCGGUGGCGAAGGCGGCGUCCUGGACCAAUACUGACACUGAAUAGCGAAAGACCAGGGGAGCAAAGCGGGAUUCAAGAGUACCCCAGUAGU